rnacentral:rRNA from 1 species
AUUGAACGCUGGCGGCAGGCCUAACACAUGCAAGUCGAACGGUAACAGGGAUCAGCUUGCUGAUUCGCUGACGAGUGGCGGACGGGUGAGUAAUGUCUGGGAAACUGCCUGAUGGAGGGGGAUAACUACUGGAAACGGUAGCUAAUACCGCAUAACGUCGCAAGACCAAAGAGGGGGACCUUCGGGCCUCUUGCCAUCGGAUGUGCCCAGAUGGGAUUAGCUAGUAGGUGGGGUAACGGCUCACCUAGGCGACGAUCCCUAGCUGGUCUGAGAGGAUGACCAGCCACACUGGAACUGAGACACGGUCCAGACUCCUACGGGAGGCAGCAGUGGGGAAUAUUGCACAAUGGGCGCAAGCCUGAUGCAGCCAUGCCGCGUGUAUGAAGAAGGCCUUCGGGUUGUAAAGUACUUUCAGCGGGGAGGAAGGGAGUAAAGUUAAUACCUUUGCUCAUUGACGUUACCCGCAGAAGAAGCGCCGGCUAACUCCGUG